UUCAGCCACAGCUGAGAACCACUGUUGUAAAGCAGUUAUAGGGUUUAGAGCUUUCCCCUGAAAGAGCCUCACAUCCAGAAAAGACAUGGUAUCCUGCCAUGUGCAUACCAGUUGCCCACACUGCCCGCUGUGAGACCUUGGACAAACUGCUUGACCUUUCCAGGUUUCCUCUGUGAAAUUUGGAUGAAAGGAGACCUAACUCAUACUCAUUGGGAUGUGGUGAGGAUUCACCGAGGAGACUGUAAACUCCAAGAGACUGAGGAUCGUGCUUGUUUUGUUCACACCUUGUGUCCAGUACAUGGCAUGGCACCUGCUACAUAGUCAUUUAUGCAGUGAAGCCAGCUUCCAUCUCAUGAGGCAGGUCUAUGCAGAGACCCACAUGAAGAGGACUGAGGGCUGUCAGCUGCCCAAAGCCACCUAAAUGGAUUUGGACAAGGAUCUGCUCAAGAUGAAAUGGCAGCCCUGACCGACAGCUUCCCUGACAGUGCAUGAGUGACCUUGAGCUAAGGGUGCAUCCAGGUUCAUCCAGGUUCCUGAGCACCAGAAACUAUGAGACAUAGAGAAAAAUGACAGGGACUCACUUUCCAAAAAAUUACACUGUGUUCAAUGACUUCCCAUCAAGAGUAAGCAAUGUUCCGUAUCCUGCCAUUGGAAGGACUAUUACCCUGCACAUUCACAGGCCCACAGCUUGCUUCCUGCCUCAGCUUUCCAUCUUUGGACCACAGCCUGAACGUUGGACUCAAGGAGCUGUCCUAAGUGGAGCACUGGCGGCGAUUGCUGUGACAUGUCUGCAGGGGCAGCUCACCCUCCCAGACUUGUGAAGUCUUGGCAUUUUCUGCCACCCUGGGGAUCAGCAGGAGGAACUGUGGGUCAGCCCUGCCUGAGGACCCCUGGUGCCUAGCAGUGGCUGGACACAGCAGGAAUGAAAACAAUAUUAAUUUUUUGAAGAAAUAAAUGAAUGAGUGUCCAAGAUUCAAGCCAAGCCUUAAAGUCUUAGAGGUUUUUCUAAAGAAACUUGAUCCUGUUACUUCCCCUUGGGCAACCCUUUUCAGCUCAUUGUUCUUGAGUCUGGUCUCUCACCCCAUCUGGCAACAUUCA